rnacentral:sRNA from 1 species
UCCACAAUCCAUUUCUGGGAUGGUCCGUAUGGUUUUGACGUUCCGAAAAUUUCAUAGUUAUUCCACUAUUCACCUGAAAUAUAUCUAAACCGCACCCUACUAUCGAAGUUUCGCCGAUGAUUUUCAAAUGCACUGUUCCUUGCAGAUGUGCUGUGUGGGAAAAGGCUAUCAUUAACAUAUGUACAUACAUUUGACACCAUUACAAUGCCAUUUGAGCUUUAACCCUUUUAACCCAACCUCAAAUUCGACUCGGAAAUAAUUGGUCAUGGCAACAACACUUUUUGCUUUCGUUAAAACAUCUAACGCAUAACAGCACAGACUGUGCUCGUAACAUACGCGUAAUAGAACAUCUGGGUUAAGACAGCUGUUUCCCGGCACAUAUAUGUAGUUCAAAGUGUAGUGGUGGACGGUGGCAGUGGGAAUCGAUGUUUCACAUCUGAAAAAAAUCCCACCGUUCCUUGUAACCUUAUUUUGGCUAGGAAAUAAUGGGUCGUGGAAACAACACUUUUUGUUUUCGUGAAAAGAGCUGGCGCACUUCGAUUUGGUUAUCGGAACGUUGGCAAAAAAUGCAUUUCUGCACAUAACAGCACUUCAGUCAGUGUUGCAAAGUCUUUGAAAUCGAUCUGAAGAAAUUAUCAAGUUAGGUUAUGUUUACUUAGCCUAAGAUGAAGUGCAUUCAAUUAAAAGUUUUAAACACGUGCUGUGCCGUGUUGUGCUGUGUCAUUGAUUGUAUUUAAGAGAUUGCCAGUGGCGCCAGCAAGUGAUAAGGACUGCGAUUUCCAUAGAUAGGCUGUAAUUAAUGUGCGAUGACCUGGUGCAGUCUGGUCUGGCCAUUUCCGUAGUGGUGCAAAUCUACUCAGUAAUCAGUGCGUACGUGAGGGUCUUGGGGGCAAUCACCUGGCGCCGAUGCAACAGCCGCCACCAGCCGAUCAGCAGCACAAACACCCCAUUCAGAAAGCACUAUCAACGGCCAUUGGAUUGGGGAGCAGCGACAAGUCACGGGCCUCCACAAAUAUGGCGAUGGCACAUACAGGCGUACAUGUGUAUGGCUGAGCCCGGGUCCCAAAAACGCCGGCAAACGUGCCGGAGAGACUCGGAGAGCCCGGACAGAUAAGGCCCAUAGAACGAAUACGAGUACGGCGCUUGUUGCUAUCAGCAUUAAUUAGCGUAGCUUCGCAGAUCGUUUGCAGAUCAGAUCGAUCGUACACAGACCAGGUCUCCCCGUAGGUAUAUGUACAUAUAUAGUACUUGUUCACUUGUUCAGACGCCGUGUAAGCAGAAGUUUGUUUAUUUUCUUGCUAAACAUUUGGCUGAUGCCUACACCCGGCCUCGGCUAGGGCUCUGAAGAACCUGUGCCGCCGCCUAGGGAUCGGACACGCGUGUGGUCCUAGGUCUAGGCAAGAUAUAUUGCGCUUGUGAGAACUUUAUAAAACCAUAAAAGAUACAGCUGCCGACUGAAAGAUACCCCUAGAGCUAUCUAGUCUCUUAGUUGAUCUCUCGCUCUACGCGACGCAACAUACCCUAGCAGCCAGCUCAUUACUGGGUAUCACAAAUCGGAUACAAAUAUUCAAAGGCGGAAAUAUAUUUAACCAAAGCGAGGAGAGAAAUUUGCCGCUCGGUUGUCGAAGCCCCUCGGCAGAUAUUCGAUUUCACCACGGACCGGAGGGCGUGUGGCCAUAAUGCGAUUAGAUGUUGUAUUUAUAGAUGUCAGGUAUGUCUUGGUAACUUGGGCUUCCCAGAAGAACGGAGGCUUGGAGGCUGGUGUUGAAUUCGUAGAAGGUCUGGAUGGGCCAGGACUACUAGCCGUAUGCUUGAUGUGCAAUCAAAAUGGCAUCAAUUGUCUCAUAAAUCAUGCCACCCGAAUGUAUAAAUUGCACCCCGCAUAGAAACCGCAAGGCCUCGUCUAAUUCCUGGGAAUCGAAACAAAGGCAAUGCCAAAGCCAAAGCCAAAGCCAAUCCGCACUCCUUCAAAUAAAGGAACAAAAUCAUGCCAUUAAGAAGGUUUCUUCUUUUUAUGUUUUAUUUUUUUGUUUUAUUCAGAUUUCGGACUGCGUUCGGCUUAUGGAACUGCUGCACCGCACCCAUUCGAGUUCGAUGAUAAAGUGAUGAUGCCCCAAGGUUCCGAAAUUGCUUUCAAAUAGAUUCCAAGCCCCGAGAAACCACUUUUGACUUCUGAAUUCAGGCAAAAGAGUUUAGCAUAUGAAUAAAGACACACCGCACUGCCCCGUCCCGUCCCCAAAAGAUCCCAACCAUCGGAUCCCCAAUUUAUAUGCAAAGCGACAAUGUGUGGAGAUAAUGCCUGCCCUGCUGAGAUGAUCCAGCAUUUGCCAUGGCGAUGGGAUGGGAAUGAGAGUGAUGAUGCCACCAUCAUAUCAUUCGAGAGGGCGAAAUAAUUAAACGAGUAUCGUAAAGCUAAAAUAUAAUGGAUUUAUGUAAAGUUAUGUUACACGCUCUGGCUGGAAAUGGACACAGAUGCGAUAAGCCGGCUCACAACAAAUGGCAGCAAAUAAAUAAAAAAUCAUUAAGAGAGUCGGUUGUCUGUCCUAUUAUGGCUGGACCACAGACUAAACACCGAAUAAAGCAUUGAGAUAGGCCCAAACAGAAUCGAGCUGAAAAGAAACCCGCUUAGGGGCGGUUCUGCCUUUUGAUGUCUUGUUGCCGGGUGUGCAAUGGAGCGUGUGUAUUCAAAUGCGAUGGCCCCGCAGCGACGACGCUUUCUUUGUGUCUCUUCGGUAUUUAAUCAAAAAUCGAAAAAGAGAGGAGCAGAAAAAAAAAACACACACAGACCGUGGAAUACAAAAAACGAGACGAGCACACAAAAAUAGCGACAAAUCAAC